AGUGUGCAUAGAGACUGUGCAAAAAUUAAAAUACAAUACAAAGGUCAUCUCCGAUAGUCCGUGUAGCCAUUUUGUUAGCUAUUUAGUUAGCUAUUUAGCAGUCUUAUGGCAUGGGGUUAGAAGCCUUUCAGGAGCCUGUUGAUGUCAGACUUGAUGCACCGGUACUGCGCGGAAGCAGAGUGAACAGUCUAUGGUUUGGGUGGUUGCAGUCUUUAAUGAUUUGCCAGGCCUUCCUUUCACACCACCUGAUAUAGAGGUCCUGGAUGGCAUGGAGCUCGGCCCCAGUGAUGUACUGGUCUGUCCUCACCACCCUCUAUAGCACCAUGUGAUCAAGGGCGGUGCUAUUGCCAUACCAAGCAGUAAUGCAGUCAGUCAAUAGGAGCCCAGGAGGUGACUAAGCACGCACCCCUGAGGGGCCCCAGUGUUGAGGAUCAGCGUUGCAAAGGUGAUGUUAACUACCCUCACGACCUGGGAUCGGCCCGUCAGGAAGUCCAGGAUCCAGUUGCAGAGGGAGGUAUUCAGUCCCAGGGUCCUAAGGUUGGUGAGGAGCGUGCAUUGGACAAUGGUGUUGAACUUGUGUUUGUGUCUCUGUAAGUAAACAACGUCUAGCAGGUUGAAAAGCAAUUGACAUGCUUUAAAUCCCAGGUCACAGUAACAUAAACCUUCAGAUGCACAACUAACCCUAACCUUAACCCAAACCAAGACCUCAAGUAGGGUAUUGUCCCAAACCCAGACCUCUAGUAGGACAUUACCCCAAACCUCUAGUAGGACAUUACACCAAACCCAGAUCUCUGGCAGGAUAUUAACUCAAACCCAGACCUCUAGUAGGACAUUACCCCAAACCCAGACCUCUAGUAGGACAUUACUCCAAACCCAGAGCUCUAGUAGGACAGUAACUCAAACCCAGAUCUCUAGUAGGACAUUACACCACACCUCUAGUAGAAAAGUAACUCAAACCCCAGAUCUCUAGUAGAAAAGUAACUCAAACCCAGACCUAUAAUAGGACAUUACCCCAAACCUCUAGUAGGACAUUACCCCAACACUCUAGUAGGACAUUACCCCCAAACCCAAAGCUCUAGGAGGACAUUACCCCAAACCCAGACCUCUAGUUGGAACAUUACCCCAAACCCAGACCUCUAGUAGGACAUUACCCAAAACCCCUCUAGAUGGUCAUUUCUUAGAGUUCUGGAUUAGGAAUGUAUGUAUUAGAUUGUAGAUUGAGUUAUGGAUAAGAUGCCUGUAUUAGAUUAUAUUAAAUUGGAAACAAUGUUAAUCUGUAAGGAUGAGAUUACCUUCUGUUUUUAUCCACUGCUGCUAUUGUAGCCCUGACAAUUACCCAAACCCUAACCAGAAUCUUUCUUCCCCCCUCUCUCUCUCUCUCUCUCUCUCUCUCUCUCUCUCUCUCUCUCUCUCUCUCUCUCUCUCUCUCUCUCUCUCUCUCUCUCUCUCUCUCUCUCUCUCUCUCUCUCUCUCUCUCUCUCUCUCUCUCUCUCUCUCUCUCACCAUACUGUGACGCUUAUCGUUUAAAGUUUCUACUUCCUGUUUACUUGUUUUAUUUGUUUAUUAUUGUUUUGGUUUCAUGUGUAGUUUUGGGAGUGUCUUAUUAUCUGUGAUAUUGGCAGGGUCUUAUUAUCCGUGAUACUGGGAGGGUCUUAUUAUAUGUGACAUUGUGCAGGCUUUAUUAUCUGUGAUAUUGGGAUGGUCUUAUUAUCUGUGAUAUUUUGGAGGGUCUUUUUAUCUAUUUAUUUUAUUUUAUUAUGUGAUAUCGGAGGGGUCUUAUUAUCUAUGAUGUUGGGAUGUCUCAUUAUACGUGAUAUUGAGGGUCUUAUUAUCUGUGAUAUUGGGAUGUCAUAUUAUAAAUGAUAUUGAGAGGGUCUUAUUUUACUGUGAUAUUGGACGAGUUUUAUUAUAUAUGAUAUUGGGAGGGUCUUAUUAUCUGUGAUAUUGGGGGGGGUCUUAUUAUCGGUGGUAUUUGGAGGGUCUUAUUAUCUAUGCUAUUGGGAGGGUUUUACUAUCUGUAUUAUUGGGAGGGUCUUUUUAUCUGUGAUAUUGGAUUGUUUAUGGUUGGGAGGGUCUUAUUAUCUGUGAUAUUGGGAUGUUUACGGUUGGGAGGGUCUUAUUAUCUGUGAUAUUGGGAUGUUUACGGUUGGGAGGGGUCUUAUUAUAUGUUAUAUUGAGAGGGUCUUAUUAUCUGUGAUAUUGGGAGUGUCGUAUUAUCUGUGAUAUUGAGAGGAUGUUAUUAACUGUGAUAUUGGGAGGGUCUUAUUAUCUGUGAUUUUGGGAUGGUUACGGUUGGAAGGGUGUUAUCUGUUAUAUUGGGAGGGUCUUAUUAUCUAUUAUAUUGGGAGGGUCUUAUUGUCUAUGAUAUUGGGAUGUUUAUGCUUGGGAGGGUCUUAUUAUAUGUAGUAUUGGGAGGGUCUUAUUAUAUGUUAUAUUGAGGGGGUCUUAUUAUCUGUGAUGUUGGGAGGGUCUUAUUAAAUAUGAUAUUGGGAGGGUCUUAUUAUCUGUGAUGUUGGGAGGUCUUAUUGUCUAUGAUAUUGGGAUGUUUACGGUUGGGAGGGUCUUUUUAUAUGUAAUAUUGGGAGAGUCUUAUUAUUUGUUAUAUUGAGAGGGUUUUAUUAUCUGUGAUGUUGGGAGGGUCUUAUUAUUUGUGAUAUUGGGAGGGUCUUAUUAUCUGUGAUAUUGGGAUGGUUACGUUUGGGAGGGGUAACCCUAACUAAUCUUAAUCCAUUUGUCUGUUUGAUGUCAGGAUGGGUUAGUGUUCAUGCAGUUAGUUCUGUUACCGGAAACUACGCUACUAUACUAUUUCCUGUGCUUUCAUAUUAUCAUUUUUUAUAAAUAUAUAUUUUUAAAA